GCCACGGUGGCACAAUCCGGUACUGCGAUGGCCUUGAGAGCCGUUUCCCGCAAGGGUAUCCUGGUUCGAAUCCGGGCCGUGGCG
rnacentral:tRNA from 1 species